rnacentral:rRNA from 1 species
AUUGAACGCUGGCGGCAGGCUUAACACAUGCAAGUCGAACGAGUGGCGGACGGGUGAGUAAUGCUUGGGAAUCUAGCUUAUCGAGGGGGAUAACUACGGGAAACUGUAGCUAAUACCGCGUACCCUAGGAUGAGCCCAUGUGGGAUUAGGUAGUUGGCGAGGUAAAGGCUCACAAAGCCGACGAUCUCUAGCCGGUCUGAGAGGAUGACCAGCCACAUGGGGACUGAGACACGGCCCAGACUCCAACGGGAGGCAGCAGGGGGGAAUAUUGCGAAAGGGGGGAAACCCUGACGCAGCCAUGCCGCGGGGGGGAAGAAGGCCUUCGGGUUGUAAAGCACGUUCAGCGGGGAGGCGUUACCCGCAGAAGAAGCACCGGCUAACUCCGUGCCAGCAGCCGCGGUAAUAC